GCCCGGGUGGCGGAACUGGCAGACGCACGGGACUUAAAAUCCCGCGGUCCUUACCGACCGUACCGGUUCGAUUCCGGUUCCGGGCACCA
rnacentral:tRNA from 1 species